rnacentral:rRNA from 1 species
UGGGGAAUAUUGGACAAUGGGCGCAAGCCUGAUCCAGCAAUGCCGCGUGUGUGAAGAAGGCCUUCGGGUUGUAAAGCACUUUUAUCAGGAGCGAAACGCUGUCGGCUAAUACCCGGCGGAACUGACGGUACCUGAGGAAUAAGCACCGGCUAACUUCGUGCCAGCAGCCGCGGUAAUACGAAGGGUGCAAGCGUUAAUCGGAAUUACUGGGCGUAAAGCGUGCGUAGGCGGUUUCUUAAGUCUGCUGUGAAAUCCCCGGGCUCAACCUGGGAAUGGCAGUGGAUACUGGGAGGCUAGAGUGUGUCAGAGGGUGGUGGAAUUCCCGGUGUAGCGGUGAAAUGCGUAGAGAUCGGGAGGAACAUCAGUGGCGAAGGCGGCCACCUGGGACAACACUGACGCUGAGGCACGAAAGCGUGGGGAGCAAACAGGAUUAGAUACCCUGGUAGUCCACGCCCUAAACGAUGCGAACUGGAUGUUGGUCUCAACUCGGAGAUCAGUGUCGAAGCUAACGCGUUAAGUUCGCCGCCUGGGGAGUACGGUCGUAAGACGUGAAACUCAAAUGAAUUGACGGGGUCAUAGCUGUUU